AUUGAACGCUGGCGGCAUGCCUUACACAUGCAAGUCGAACGGCAGCACGGGAGCUUGCUCCUGGGUGGCGAGUGGCGAACGGGUGAGUAAUACAUCGGAACGUACCCUGAAGUGGGGGAUAACGUAGCGAAAGUUACGCUAAUACCGCAUAUUCUGUGAGCAGGAAAGAGGGGGAUCGCAAGACCUCUUGCUUUAGGAGCGGCCGAUGUCGGAUUAGCUAGUUGGUGAGGUAAAGGCUCACCAAGGCGACGAUCCGUAGCGGGUCUGAGAGGAUGAUCCGCCACACUGGGACUGAGACACGGCCCAGACUCCUACGGGAGGCAGCAGUGGGGAAUUUUGGACAAUGGGCGCAAGCCUGAUCCAGCCAUGCCGCGUGAGUGAAGAAGGCCC
rnacentral:rRNA from 1 species